CUUGGUCAUUUAGAGGAAGUAAAAGUCGUAACAAGGUUUCCGUAGGUGAACCUGCGGAAGGAUCAUUACCUAGAGUUUGUAGACUUCGGUCUGCUACCUCUUACCCAUGUCUUUUGAGUACCUUCGUUUCCUCGGCGGGUCCGCCCGCCGAUUGGACAACAUUCAAACCCUUUGCAGUUGCAAUCAGCGUCUGAAAAAACAUAAUAGUUACAACUUUCAACAACGGAUCUCUUGGUUCUGGCAUCGAUGAAGAACGCAGCGAAAUGCGAUAAGUAGUGUGAAUUGCAGAAUUCAGUGAAUCAUCGAAUCUUUGAACGCACAUUGCGCCCCUUGGUAUUCCAUGGGGCAUGCCUGUUCGAGCGUCAUUUGUACCUUCAAGCUCUGCUUGGUGUUGGGUGUUUGUCUCGCCUCUGCGUGUAGACUCGCCUUAAAACAAUUGGCAGCCGGCGUAUUGAUUUCGGAGCGCAGUACAUCUCGCGCUUUGCACUCAUAACGACGACGUCCAAAAGUACAUUUUUACACUCUUGACCUCGGAUCAAGUAGGGAUACCCGCUGAACUUAAGCAUAUCAAUAAGCGGAGGAAAAGAAACCAACAGGGAUUGCCCUAGUAACGGCGAGUGAAGCGGCAACAGCUCAAAUUUGAAAUCUGGCGUCUUUGGCGUCCGAGUUGUAAUUUGCAGAGGGCGCUUUGGCAUUGGCAGCGGUCCAAGUUCCUUGGAACAGGACGUCACAGAGGGUGAGAAUCCCGUACGUGGUCGCUAGCCUUUACCGUGUAAAGCCCCUUCGACGAGUCGAGUUGUUUGGGAAU
rnacentral:sRNA from 1 species